AUUGAACGCUGGCGGCCGGCCUAACACAUGCAAGUCGAACGAGUGGCGGACGGGUGAGUAAUGUCUGGGAAACUGCCUGAUGUAGGGGGAUAACUACUGGAAACGGUAGCUAAUACCGCAUACCAUCGGAUGUGCCCAGAUGGGAUUAGCUAGUCGGUGGGGUAACGGCUCACCUAGUCGACGAUCCCUAGCUGGUCUGAGAGGAUUACCAGCAAGACUGGGACUGAGACACGGUCCAGACUCCUACUGGAGGCAGCAGUGGGGAAUAUUGCACAAUGGGCGCAAGCCUGAUGCAGCCAUGCCGCGUGGAUGAAGAAGGCCUUCGGGUUGUAAAGUACUUUCAGCGGGGAGGCGUUACCCGCAGAAGAAGCACCGGCUAACUCCGUGCCAGCAGCCGCGGUAAUUC
rnacentral:rRNA from 1 species